GCAGUGUACCCGCGGCAAGACGGAAAGACCCCGUGAACCUUUACUAUAGCUUGACACUGAACAUUGAGCCUUGAUGUGUAGGAUAGGUGGGAGGCUUUGAAGCGUGGACGCCAGUCUGCGUGGAGCCGACCUUGAAAUACCACCCUUUAAUGUUUGAUGUUCUAACGUGGAUCCGUAAUCCGGGUUGCGGACAGUGUCUGGUGGGUAGUUUGACUGGGGCGGUCUCCUCCUAAAGAGUAACGGAGGAGCACGAAGGUUGGCUAAUCCUGGUCGGACAUCAGGAGGUUAGUGCAAUGGCAUAAGCCAGCUUGACUGCGAGCGUGACGGCGCGAGCAGGUGCGAAAGCAGGUCAUAGUGAUCCGGUGGUUCUGAAUGGAAGGGCCAUCGCUCAACGGAUAAAAGGUACUCCGGGGAUAACAGGCUGAUACCGCCCAAGAGUUCAUAUCGACGGCGGUGUUUGGCACCUCGAUGUCGGCUCAUCACAUCCUGGGGCUGAAGUAGGUCCCAAGGGUAUGGCUGUUCGCCAUUUAAAGUGGUACGCGAGCUGGGUUUAGAACGUCGUGAGACAGUUCGGUCCCUAUCUGCCGUGGGCGCUGGAGAACUGAGGGGGGCUGCUCCUAGUACGAGAGGACCGGAGUGGACGCAUCACUGGUGUUCGGGUUGUCAUGCCAAUGGCACUGCCCGGUAGCUAAAUGCGGAAGAGAUAAGUGCUGAAAGCAUCUAAGCACGAAACUUGCCCCGA
rnacentral:rRNA from 3 species